ACCUAGCAAGUAGCAGCGCCACUCUUAGUCUCUCAUAGUCUCUCUCUAACGAAGGAACAUCAAUCCCCAAUCCCCAAUACACAGCCGUCGAGCCCCUUCCUCCCAGCAGCGUUUUCCUUCACCGUCGCCAACUCGCCGAACAGAGCCUCGCGGACAACACCUCGGCGUGGUCCUCUCUCCCUCCCUCCCUCCUUUCGCAGUUCACAGUUGCCGUUUCCCUCCCUCGCGUCGCAUCUUCUCCCAUUCCUUCCCUCGCUCUCGCAGCCUCUCCUUUCCUGCUGUGCUGGUGCUGCUGUUUUAAUUUGUAAAAUAGAAGAUUCGCCUUAAGUAGGAGAAUGAAGGCGUUCCUAGCACUGCAAUAUGCGAGAUUUCUCUCCUCAAGGAAAUGUAGCACAUGAAUAUUGUUAGGUCAAUGUGACUCUCUGGUUUGAGUGGAGCAAGAUCGAGACGCCUAUGGAUGAAGUUGUUGUGCCUUAUGAUAGUCUAGCUCCAACUCCUGAAGGUGUGUGACAGGUGAAAGGAUGCACUUCAGCUUUGCUGCAAUUUGCAAAGACAACAAACAUCCCCGUUCUUUUGGAAGAAAGAUCACCCAAUGCAGUGCAAGAGAAAGGUUUUAAUUUUGAUGAUACUAGGAUUAUGAGAGGAGCAUGGAGGAAUGAGUCUAAUCCUGAUAUCUGCAAGAAGAAGCUAUACAAAGUUUGUCAACUGUGUCCAUGUGUCAUGAGAACAUACAACUGAACUUGAUCAGUUACAUAGGAGUUCUUCAGAUGCCUUGCUAUAUAUCAACAAAUGCACAGAUGCACAGAAAUACGACUCUUCCUAUUUUAAGGGUUUACUAAAAUAGAUGAUUCUCCUCAUAUUUUAUACAUAAUAAUAAAAGGGAGGAUGAUGCACAAAACAUGUCUACCUUGCCCAGCAGUAUCUCAGCAAAUCAACCAACGAUGAUUGCGAACAUAGAUACUAAUGUAGAUAACCUACAAUUUUGAAGAAGCAAGUAUGCAAUUUAAUACAUUUACCUUACUGUAUCAACUGCCAAGUCUUAGGUGGUGUUUAUAUGUAUUUUUCAUUUUUUUAAAAUUUUCAAUGUACAAUAAGAAAUUGAGAUGAAUAAGAAAUUGAGAUGUAUAAUGUAUAAUGAAUUUUAUAAAAGUAGGAUCACAUUUGUACGGUUAGAUUGAAACAUCUAUA